CGUAACUAUAACGGUCCUAAGGUAGCGAAAUUCCUUGUCGGGUAAGUUCCGACCUGCACGAAUGGCGUAAUGAUGGCCAGGCUGUCUCCACCCGAGACUCAGUGAAAUUGAACUCGCUGUGAAGAUGCAGUGUACCCGCGGCAAGACGGAAAGACCCCGUGAACCUUUACUAUAGCUUGACACUGAACAUUGAGCCUUGAUGUGUAGGAUAGGUGGGAGGCUUUGAAGUGUGGACGCCAGUCUGCAUGGAGCCGGCCUUGAAAUACCACCCUUUAAUGUUUGAUGUUCUAACGUGGACCCGUGAUCCGGGUUGCGGACAGUGUCUGGUGGGUAGUUUGACUGGGGCGGUCUCCUCCUAAAGAGUAACGGAGGAGCACGAAGGUUGGCUAAUCCUGGUCGGACAUCAGGAGGUUAGUGCAAUGGCAUAAGCCAGCUUGACUGCGAGCGUGACGGCGCGAGCAGGUGCGAAAGCAGGUCAUAGUGAUCCGGUGGUUCUGAAUGGAAGGGCCAUCGCUCAACGGAUAAAAGGUACUCCGGGGAUAACAGGCUGAUACCGCCCAAGAGUUCAUAUCGACGGCGGUGUUUGGCACCUCGAUGUCGGCUCAUCACAUCCUGGGGCUGAAGUAGGUCCCAAGGGUAUGGCUGUUCGCCAUUUAAAGUGGUACGCGAGCUGGGUUUAGAACGUCGUGAGACAGUUCGGUCCCUAUCUGCCGUGGGCGCUGGAGAACUGAGGGGGGCUGCUCCUAGUACGAGAGGACCGGAGUGGACGCAUCACUGGUGUUCGGGUUGUCAUGCCAAUGGCACUGCCCGGUAGCUAAAUGCGGAAGAGAUAAGUGCUGAAAGCAUCUAAGCACGAAACUUGCCCCGAGAUGAGUUCUCCCUGAGACUUUAGGUCUCCUGAAGGAACGUUGAAGACGACGACGUUGAUAGGCCGGGUGUGUAAGCGCAGCGAUGCGUUGAGCUAACCGGUACUAAUGAACCGUGAGGCUUAACCUUACA
rnacentral:rRNA from 1 species